rnacentral:rRNA from 1 species
CGGCGUACGGGUGCGGAACACGUGUUGAGCAACCCUGCUUUAUCUGGGGGAUAGCCUUUCGAAAGGAAGAUAAUACCCCAUAAUAUGUUGGAUGGCAUCAUUCGACAUUGAAAACUCCGGUGGAUAGAGAUGGCGCACGCGCAAGAUUAGAUAGUUGGUGAGGUAACGGUCACCAAGUCUACGAUCUUUUAGAGGGCCUGAGAGGUGAUCCCCCAAUGUACUGAGACACGGACCAGACUCCUACGGGAGGCCAGCAGUGAGGAAUAUUGGACAAUGGGUGAGAGCCUGAUCCAGCCAUCCCGCGUGAAGGACGACUGCCCUAAUGGGUUGUAAAACUUCUAUUUGUCAUCAGGGAUAAACCUACCCCUCGGUGAGGGUAAGCUGGAAGGUACUAUAACGAAUAAAGCAACCGGUUAACUCCGUUGGCCAGGCAGCCAGCGGUAAUACGGAGGGGUGCAAAGCGUAUAUCCGGAUUUAUUGGGUUUAAAAGGGUACCGUAGCGGAUNCUGGUAAAGUCCAGUGGUUGAAAAUACUCACAGGUUUAACUGUGAAAAUUGCAAUUUGGAUUACUGGCCAGGGUCCUAGGAAGUGGUUGGUGAA